rnacentral:rRNA from 1 species
UGGGGAAUUUUGCACAAUGGGGGAAACCCUGAUGCAGCGACGCCGCGUGAGUGAAGAAGGAUUUCGGUUCGUAAAACUCUGUUGUUAGAGAAGAACAGCGCAUAGAGUAACUGUUAUGCGUGUGACGGUAUCUAACCAGAAAGCCACGGCUAACUACGUGCCAGCAGCCGCGGUAAUACGUAGGUGGCAAGCGUUGUCCGGAUUUAUUGGGCGUAAAGCGAGCGCAGGCGGUCAAUUAAGUCUGAUGUGAAAGCCCCCGGCUCAACCGGGGAGGGUCAUUGGAAACUGGUUGACUUGAGUGCAGAAGAGGAGAGUGGAAUUCCAUGUGUAGCGGUGAAAUGCGUAGAUAUAUGGAGGAACACCGGUGGCGAAAGCGGCUCUCUGGUCUGUAACUGACGCUGAGGCUCGAAAGCGUGGGGAGCGAACAGG